rnacentral:rRNA from 1 species
GAACGAACGCUGGCGGCAGGCUUAACACAUGCAAGUCGAACGGUCUCUUCGGAGGCAGUGGCAGACGGGUGAGUAAUGCAUGGGAAUCUACCGUUCUCUACGGAAUAACUCAGGGAAACUUGUGCUAAUACCGUAUACGCCCUUUUGGGGAAAGAUUUAUCGGAGAAUGAUGAGCCCAUGUUGGAUUAGCUAGUUGGUAGGGUAAAGGCCUACCAAGGCGACGAUCCAUAGCUGGUCUGAGAGGAUGAUCAGCCACACUGGGACUGAGACACGGCCCAGACUCCUACGGGAGGCAGCAGUGGGGAAUAUUGGACAAUGGGCGCAAGCCUGAUCCAGCCAUGCCGCGUGAGUGAUGAAGGCCCUAGGGUUGUAAAGCUCUUUCACCGGUGAAGAUAAUGACGGUAACCGGAGAAGAAGCCCCGGCUAACUUCGUGCCAGCAGCCGCGGUAAUACGAAGGGGGCUAGCGUUGUUCGGAUUUACUGGGCGUAAAGCGCACGUAGGCGGACUUUUAAGUCAGGGGUGAAAUCCCGGGGCUCAACCCCGGAACUGCCUUUGAUACUGGAAGUCUUGAGUAUGGAAGAGGUAAGUGGAAUUGCGAGUGUAGAGGUGAAAUUCGUAGAUAUUCGCAGGAACACCAGUGGCGAAGGCGGCUUACUGGUCCAUUACUGACGCUGAGGUGCGAAAGCG